rnacentral:rRNA from 1 species
UCAAGUUAUUAAGGGUGCAGGGCGGAUGCCUUGGCACUAGGAGCCGAUGAAGGACGUGAUAAGCUGCGAUAAGCUUCGGGGAGUUGCACGUAAACUUUGAUCCGAAGAUUUCCGAAUGAGGAAACUCACUUAGAGUAAUGUCUAAGUAUCAUUAAGUGAAUACAUAGCUUAAUGAGGGGAACUCAGGGAACUGAAACAUCUAAGUACCUGAAGGAAGAGAAAGAAAUUCGAUUCCGUAAGUAGCGGCGAGCGAACGCGGAUUAGCCCAAACCAAUAAAGUUUUCUUUAUUGGGGUUGCGGACAUAUCAUAACGAAGAGGUAUCGUAAUUGAAGAGGUUUGGAAAGACCCACCACAGAAGGUAAUAGUCCUGUAUGUUAAACGAGAAGACUUCAGAUAUGAUCCAGAGUACCACGGGACACGUGAAACCCUGUGGGAAGCAGGAGGGACCACCCUCCAAGGCUAAAUACUACCUAGUGACCGAUAGCGUAUAGUACCGUGAGGGAAAGGUGAAAAGAACCCCGGGAGGGGAGUGAAAUAGAACCUGAAACCCUGCACUUACAAGCUGUGGAAGCACAUUUCUUGUGUGACCGCGUACUUUUUGUAGAACGGGCCAACGAGUUACGUUAAGUAGCAAGGUUAAGCACUUAAGGUGCGGAGCCGUAGCGAAAGCGAGUUUUAACUGAGCGUUCAGUUACUUGACGUAGACCCGAAACCGGGCGACCUACCCAUGAGCAGGAUGAAGCGAAAGUAAAAUUUCGUGGAGGUCCGAACCCACGAGCGUUGAAAAGCUCGGGGAUGACUUGUGGGUAGCGGUGAAAUUCCAAUCGAGCCCGGAGAUAGCUGGUUCUCCCCGAAAUAGCUUUAGGGCUAGCCUCAAGGUGAGAGAUACGGAGGUAGAGCACUGAAUGUCCUAGGGGGUAUUGCACCUACCGAAGACUAUCAAACUCCGAAUGCCGUCAUCUUAUACUUGGGAGUCAGACUGUGGGUGAUAAGAUUCAUAGUCGAAAGGGCAACAGCCCAGAUCGUCAGCUAAGGUCCCUAAAUGUAAGUUAAGUGGUAAAGGAUGUGGGAUUGCACAGACAACCAGGAUGUUGGCUUAGAAGCAGCCACUCAUUCAAAGAGUGCGUAAUAGCUCACUGGUCGAGUGAUCCUGCGCCGAAGAUUUCCGGGGCUAAAACUUACUACCGAAGCUACGGCAUCAGUAAUGAUGGGUAGGGGAGCUUCCCAUACGGGUUGAAGCAUGACCGUAAGGACAUGUGGACAGUAUGGGAGUGAGAAUGUUGGCAUGAGUAGCGAGAUGUGGGUGAGAAUCCCACAGGCCGUAAACCCAAGGUUUCCAGGGGAAGGUUCGUCCGCCCUGGGUUAGUCGGGACCUAAGCUGAGGCCGAAAGGCGUAGGUGAUGGACAACAGGUUGAUAUUCCUGUACUACCGAUAACCGUUUGAGAGAAGGGAUGACACAGUAGGAUAAGCUAAGCACACUGUUGGUUAUGUGUGCCCAAGCAUUGAGGCAGUCAAAGUAGGCAAAUCCGCUUUGAUAAUGCUGGGAUGUGAUGGGGAGCGAAAUUUAGUAGCGAAGUAGCUGAUUUCACACUGUCAAGAAAAGUCUCUAUCGAGGUUAAAGGUACCCGUACCGCAAACCGACACAGGUGGGUGAGGAGAGUAUCCUAAGGCCAGCGAGAGAACUGUUGUUAAGGAACUCGGCAAAAUGACCCCGUAACUUAGGGAUAAGGGGUGCCACCAUCAGGUGGCCGCAGAGAAUAGGCCCAAGCGACUGUUUACCAAAAACAUAGGUUUCUGCUAAGUCGCAAGACGAUGUAUAGGAGCUGACGCCUGCCCGGUGCUGGAAGGUUAAGGGGAUCUGUUAGAGCAAUCGAAGCAGUGAACUUAAGCCCCAGUAAACGGCGGCCGUAACUAUAACGGUCCUAAGGUAGCGAAAUUCCUUGUCGGGUAAGUUCCGACCCGCACGAAAGGCGUAACGAUUUGGGCACUGUCUCAACAACAGACUCGGUGAAAUUGUAAUUCCGGUGAAGAUGCCGGAUACCUGCGACAGGACGGAAAGACCCCAUGGAGCUUUACUGUAGCUUGACAUUGGGUCUUGGUACUACAUGUACAGGAUAGGUGGGAGGCUUUGAAACCAGGACGCCAGUUUUGGCGGAGCCAUCCUUGGGAUACCACCCUUGUAGUACUGGGACUCUAACCAUAGGCCAUGAAUCUGGUCUUGGGACACUGUCAGGUGGGCAGUUUGACUGGGGCGGUCGCCUCCCAAAAGGUAACGGAGGCGCUCAAAGGUUCUCUCAGUACGGUCGGAAAUCGUACGUAGAGUGUAAAGGCAAAAGAGAGCUUGAUUGCAAGACAUACAGGUCGAGCAAGGAUGAAAAUCGGA